AAGUGUGACAGCACCAAAAUCACCAAAAAAAUCAGCAUCAGUCAUGAUGAUACUAUAAAAACUUUCAAUGUGAUCAUCACUGCUGCUCCUGUCCGAUCAAGUCAAAACUGAUGAAGAGCCCCGUAUGGAGAAGAGGGAGUUUGACUUGGAUUCAGGUCUGUCUUCAGCUGCU